rnacentral:tRNA from 1 species
AAGGGUAUAGCUCAGUGGUAGAGUGCAUGCUUAGAAUGCACAAGGUCCUGGGUUCAAUCCCCAGUACCUCCA